GAUGAACGCUGGCGGCGUGCCUAAUACAUGCAAGUCGAGCGAAUGGAUUAAGAGCUUGCUCUUAUGAAGUUAGCGGCGGACGGGUGAGUAACACGUGGGUAACCUGCCCAUAAGACUGGGAUAACUCCGGGAAACCGGGGCUAAUACCGGAUAACAUUUUGAACCGCAUGGUUCGAAAUUGAAAGGCGGCUUCGGCCGUCACUUAUGGAUGGACCCGCGUCGCAUUAGCUAGUUGGUGAGGUAACGGCUCACCAAGGCAACGAUGCGUAGCCCACCUGAGAGGGUGAUCGGCCACACUGAGACUGAGACACGGCCCAGACUCCUACGGGAGGCAGCAGUAGGGAAUCUUCCGCAAUGGACGAAAGUCUGACGGAGCAACGCCGCGUGAGUGAUGAAGGCUUUCGGGUCGUAAAACUCUGUUGUUAGGGAAGAACAAGUGCUAGUUGAAUAAGCUGGCACCUUGACGGUACCUAACCAGAAAGCCACGGCUAACUACGUGCCAGCCGCCGCUGUAA
rnacentral:rRNA from 1 species